rnacentral:lncRNA from 1 species
GCGUUGCUCUGCUCCUGAUUCUGGUGUUCAUCACCGUAUGUUACGUUUACAAGAAAAAAACGCUGAAGUCGACAUCAGCUGCUGCUGGAGAUAUGGAGCUCAUAUACAGUGAUAUCUCUCAUGAGAAAAAGAGUGAAAAGAAUAAAACAGAAUCGCUCCCAGCUGCUGAUGAGGAAUAUGCCACGGUCCGACCGCAGACAAAGAGGAAGAAGAGGAAGGAGGAGGAAGAGGAAGAGGUCCAGUACGGCGAGGUGAGGUUCACUCCGAACCACUCAGUCGCUCCACAGCAGCCCCAGGAGGAGUGUGUUUACUCGCAGGUACAAAGACGCUAGUUUCACAACAACAACUCGUGUACGAUCGCACUUUACCUGGGAAACCAAGUGCUUUUUUCAAUUAUGUUUGACUUUGGGAGUUUUACGGGUUAUAUAAAGCACAUAUCUCUUUGCAUUUGUAAAUUAUUAUGUGCUGUAUGUUGAUAUGGACUGUAGAGCGAAGAGCUUCAACGCAAGUGUCUGGGCUGAACCAUGAGAUGUUGAGUAAGCAAGAGAAUGGAGAAAAGAGGAAACCAGCUGCAUGAUAUUCAAUGCAUUGAGCUCUUCUGUUUUUAGCACUUCUUGAUUUGCAGCUGCGACUUUAUGAUGGCAAGAAAAGCUUAAACGAGAGUCAGCUUGUAAUCAUGAAUCUUGAGGAGGUGAUCGAGUCGCUCAAUAAUCACGAAAACAGCAGUUUGGUGAUUUUGAAUCAUUAAAACAUUUCAAAGCAACUUUAAGUUCAAAAGUCACAGAAAACCUGAGCUUGCUAGAUUGAGUUCUAGAGGAUAUAGUAGUUUAACAGUGACACGAGAGAGUUAAAAUGAGGGUUGAAACAGUUCAAAUAUCUGCAUUCGUCCAUCUGGAGUGAGUUGAAGCAGUCACAUGUUUUUAAGGUUUACAGCAGGGUCAGAAAUUAAAAGGGGAUUGUGGCAAAAAGCCACCAAAAUGGACAAAAAUUAAUUUCAAGAUAAAUUGGCAAAAAUUGCCCCUGCGCAAUUAAACAAUCGAUUACAGCUGUCGCGAUUAAAAUGAAAUGUGCAAACGAGUAAAGUGUCUAGCUGUGGAAUUAUUCGAAUUCGAACACUCUGCAUCAGGUUUGCUUUUUACAAUUUUUUUUUUUUUGCAGCGUUGAGUCUUAUAACCAAUCACACGCGUUUCCGUUGAGCUUAGGAAUGCAGUUGUUGUUUCAUUUGCGUGCCCACUUAUUGAAUUCUUUGCGCUGGUGAAUUUCCUCAUCAUAAACAACACUGUGCAGAAAUGUUGUACAUAAAAUAUACAUUUUGUGGCUUCAGUGAUAUAAAGGGAGUGUUUGCAUAACUUGCACUAGACUAGUCUAACGUCAUUGACCGACAUGGACCGCUUAUCUGUGAAGCCAGAGCCAGAAUAUGACGAGCCGUUUACCCAGAACGCAGACACAAAACACAAAAAAAGUUAAAUUUGUUCAUUAUUCAGCAUUAAUAAUCAUUAUUACAAUACCAAGAACAAUUUUUGUCAUAAUAUUGCAGCCAUAUUGGCUCCUGUUUUUAAACGUGUAAUUUAGAUACAAGUUUAAACAUGUUAUAGGCAACAGUUUCAAGUAUUUUAAUUGAUUGAAGAAAUUGGUUAAAUUAAAGUGUUUAUCAUUCAAGACAAC